rnacentral:lncRNA from 1 species
CGAGAAAAAAAAUCAAAGAAGGGGCGCCAAGAAGCCCUAGAAAGACUGAAAAAGGCUAAAGCUGGUGAGAAGUAUAAAUAUGAAAUGGUAUUGGCUAUGUGGAAGAUGGCCGAGAGAUUUUUGAUGAUGACCUUGAAGAUGAUGCCCUUGAUGCUGAUGAGAAAGGAAAAGAUGGUAAAGCACGCAACAAAGACAAGAGGAAUGUAAAGAAGCUCGCAGUGACAAAACCGAACAACAUUAAGUCAAUGUUCA